CACAUGCAAGUCGAGCGGUAACAUUUCUAGCUUGCUAGAAGAUGACGAGCGGCGGACGGGUGAGUAAUGCUUGGGAACAUGCCUUGAGGUGGGGGACAACAGUUGGAAACGACUGCUAAUACCGCAUAAUGUCUACGGACCAAAGGGGGCUUCGGCUCUCGCCUUUAGAUUGGCCCAAGUGGGAUUAGCUAGUUGGUGAGGUAAUGACUCACCAAGGCGACGAUCCCUAGCUGGUUUGAGAGGAUGAUCAGCCACACUGGGACUGAGACACGGCCCAGACUCCUACGGGAGGCAGCAGUGGGGAAUAUUGCACAAUGGGCGCAAGCCUGAUGCAGCCAUGCCGCGUGUGUGAAGAAGGCCUUCGGGUUGUAAAGCACUUUCAGUCAGGAGGAAAGGUUAGUAGUUAAUACCUGCUAGCUGUGACGUUACUGACAGAAGAAGCACCGGCUAACUCCGUGCCAGCAGCCGCGGUAAUACGGAGGGUGCGAGCGUUAAUCGGAAUUACUGGGCGUAAAGCGUACGCAGGCGGUUUGUUAAGCGAGAUGUGAAAGCCCCGGGCUCAACCUGGGAACUGCAUUUCGAACUGGCAAACUAGAGUGUGAUAGAGGGUGGUAGAAUUUCAGGUGUAGCGGUGAAAUGCGUAGAGAUCU
rnacentral:rRNA from 1 species